AACCUAUCUCAGCUUCAGGAAAUGGAAGUAAGUGAUUGCGAGAACUUGGAAGAGAUUGUGAUUGAUCAAAGUGGCAUCGGAGAAGACAAUGUAGAAGUGGCUGAGUUUAGUCAUUUACGUUCCUUGACACUACAAUUUCUACCAGUGCUCAAAAGCUUUUGCUUCAAAGUGAAGGAGUCGACAAUUGUUGAUGGAGGAUUCAAUGGGGUUGUGAUAGAGGAUGAGGUUCAUAAUCCACG
rnacentral:misc_RNA from 1 species